CCUCCAGAAUGGAUAUGGCCUUUCUGGGGUGCCUUAGAUAUUUUUCGGAAUGAAAACUUUUUCCUGCCCUCCUUCCUUCUUGCUGGUGAGAAUAUCUGCUCUACUGUUCUUCCUGCUCUGGCUCCCACCAUUCCUCGCCACCCCAGGAAUCGGCAUCUUCAGCCAUCCAGUAUAGACGUCUCUCCAGGAAUCCAACAGGACUUCAGCACCGGAUUGGGAUGGCUGAGGUAGCCAGCUUCGUGGACUGAGUUCUGUUCUUAAGCCUCUCCAAGUUUGUAGACCUAAGCGGCCAUUCAGUCAUUGUUGGGAGAUGGCAUUGUUGGAGUAUCUAGCCUUAAUCUUGGCCAGAUCUUCUAGAGAUCAUGGGAUUAAACAAUAUUAAAACAACAACAACAACAACAACAACAAAAUCUAUCCAACAAAAGCCAGGCAGCUAAAGUAAGACACUAUGGAAAGUCAGAUGACUUCAAUGACAUGGUAAUAAAAGUGACAAGGUAUGCUGUGCUAUAUCCUGGGGCAGAAAAAGGACAUGAGUGGGAAGAUCCCAGAAAUAUUCACAGGGCUGAUUGUUACCCACAAUACUUCAGAGAGUGACUCUACAUGAAGAUACGAUCUUCUAUGGGCAUCCAAAAAGCUCCCUCUGCUUGUUGCUAGUGCCUCUGCCUCCCAUCCCUCUAUGAAAGCUUCCGAGUUCAGCUUACUCUUAGAAUCAUUCGCAGGGACAUCUAAAGGAAGUGGUCAUGGCCUAAAAAGCUCGCUCCUCUUCCACUUGCCCACUGGGCUCCCCACGUGUGACUUCUGCCUCGCCCGCCAAUAAAAAAUAAAUCAUA